CUGGGCCAAUACAAUGAUCGAGUGUGUACCUGAGAAUGGAGUUUCAACAGAGGAAAUGAAGGUCAACAGUGGCAGUGACAAUACCAAGCCAACAAAUAUGCAAUGCACAACCCCAGAGAUGUAAGUUUCACCUAGAGUAGUUUGAAAUCAAAUAAAAAUGAAAGAGCAAUACUCAAAUCAAUCUCAAAACCAGACCAAAAUCUCUAACAAUUAACCAGCAGAUGUCUACCAAUUUUCAAGCAACAUUCGAAAUCCAAUCAAACUAGAGAAAACCAUUAAGAUCAGUAGGGGUAGCUAACAGAAUUGGAACUUAAGAAUUAUUGGAGAUAGGCUAAUUGAGGGAACUAUUUUUGAGUCCAAAAAAUGGCUGACCAAAAGAAGACCCCCCACUCAAGGAACUUGAUGCCCUUUUUAUAGGUGACACCAGAAGGUGAAUCAGGUUUUGGGUUUCUUUUUAGUUCCUCCCUUAUUUUCAGUUUAGUCCCUCAUUUCUUGACUUGUUUCCCAAGCUAAUAUCCUAAGUUGGCUGAAAUCUACACUAAAAUACCCUUCUAAAAGGCCCUAGGAUGCUCUUUCCCCCCUAAAAUACCUAUACUACCCUUACCCCUAUUUUGAAAUUACUAUUCUCAAAGAAACUGCCCUUUUCUAUCCCUAAAAUAUCCUUCUACUAGUCUGGGAUUUACAGCCCAAUGCUAACUGAUCCCAAUCCUUUUAACCCCAGCUAAAAUCUAACUAAAGUUAACUAAAACAAAAGAUUUGCUCAGCUAUAACCAACCAGGUCCAACUCUAAGGCAGAAUAUCAAAAUUGAAUCAAAAUAAAACUUAUCCUACUGCAUAUUCUAUCAAUCCAUUAAUCAAACGAGAGUAAUCGUCAACAUUAAACUAAUAUCUAAACUCAGAAUCAUUAAACAACUAGAACGAGAUAAACAGGGCAAUCAAAACAGUGUAUCAGCAUGAACUAACGUUAAUACUAGCUAAUUAAAAUAACAACUAUUAUUAUCUAUGAAAGACAUUAAAAUAUGAUCGAUAAACAAACAAUCCAACUAACCAAAUAAGAGAGCAUGAGACUAUUGAAAAUGACUCAGAAAGUUAAAGAAAACUUACCCACAGAGCUAAAUCUCCGACUAAGCACUGCCUUUCGAAUCUCUCCAGAUUUUUGACACGCAACAUCCCUAACCAUGUGUUCUUACAAGAGAACACAUGGUUAAGGAUAUUACGGUUCGAAAUCAUAAAGAUUUUGGUUUUAGGGUUUUGGCCAGAAAUUUUAGAUCUGAAAUUCGAGCCACUUCUCAGAGAUUUGAAAGAAGAUGGUCAUGGAUUUGGGUUGAGGGAAGUCUCGGGAUUGUAUGGUAUGAUUUUGGGCUGGUUUGGAUAAACUUGCGACCUGACCGAAAACUUCAAAUGGAGAUUCAAGGAACUCUGGCCAUAUUCGAGAGAAACCAAUAGCGGGAAUGGGAAGAGGGGUUCAUGGGGGAUCUAUGGUGUUAAUUUGGGUUUGAACGGUGUAAGUUUACUCGCCGCCGGCGAGGAUUUUGGGGCGGCUGGGAUUAGCGUUUGCACAGAGAGGUAGGGUGAGGAAGGUGA
rnacentral:lncRNA from 1 species